rnacentral:rRNA from 1 species
GGCGACCGGCGCACUGGUGAGUAACACGUAUGCAACCUGCCGCGCACUGGGGGAUAAUCUUGGGAAACCGAGUCUAAUACCCCGUAGGCCUUGUUGCCGCAUGGUAAUAAGGUAAGAGGAGUGAUCCGAUGCGCGAUGGGCAUGCGGCGCAUUAGCUAGUUGGCGGGGUAACAGCCCACCAAGGCGACGAUGCGUAGGGGUUCUGAGAGGAAGGUCCCCCACACUGGUACUGAGACACGGACCAGACUCCUACGGGAGGCAGCAGUGAGGAAUAUUGGUCAAUGGGCGGAAGCCUGAACCAGCCAAGUCGCGUGCGGGAGGGAGGCCCUACGGGUCGUAAACCGCUUUUAGAUGGGGGGUAAACCAUGCGGACGAGUCCGCAUCUGAGAGUACCCAUCGAAUAAGCAUCGGCUAACUCCGUGCCAGCAGCCGCGGUAAUACGGAGGAUGCGAGCGUUAUCCGGAUUUAUUGGGUUUAAAGGGUGCGCAGGCGGCUAUUCAAGUCAGCGGUCAAAUUGCGGUGCUCAACGCCGUAUCGCCGUUGAAACUGAGUUGGCUAGAGUGAGAGUGAGGAAGGCGGAAUGCGCGGUGUAGCGGUGAAAUGCAUAGAUAUUGCGCAGAACUCCGAUUGCGAAGGCAGCUUUCCAAUUUCUUUCUACCUGAACGCUCAUGCACGAAAGCGUGGGUAUCGAACAGGAUUAGAUACCCUGGUAGUCCACGUCGGUAAACGAUGGUCACUAGUCUGUGCGCCCUGAUUAAAGGGAGCGUGGCCGAGCUGAAAGCGUUAAGUGACCCACCUGGGGAGUACGCCGGCAACGGUGAAACUCAAAGGAAUUGACGGGGGCCCAGCACAAGCGGAGGAACAUGUGGUUUAAUUCGAUGAUACGCGAGGAACCUUACCCGGGCUCAAACGCUUGCGGGAGUCUAUUUGAAAGGAUAGAUGCCCUUCGGGCGCUGCAAGCGAGGUGCUGCAUGGUUGUCGUCAGCUCGUGCCGUGAGGUGUCGGCUUAAGUGCCAUAACGAGCGCAACCCCCAUCUUCAGUUGCCGUCGGGUAGAGCCGGGCACUCUGGAGAGACUGCCGGCGCAAGCUGUGAGGAAGGCGGGGAUGACGUCAAAUCAGCACGGCCCUUACGUCCGGGGCGACACACGUGUUACAAUGGCGGGGCACAGAGGGAAGCCAGGCGGUGACGUCGAGCGGAUCCCGAAAACCCGUCUCAGUUCGGAUCGGAGUCUGCAACUCGACUCCGUGAAGCUGGAUUCGCUAGUAAUCGCGCAUCAGCCAUGGCGCGGUGAAUACGUUCCCGGGCCUUGUACACACCGCCCGUCAAGCCAUGGAAGCCUGGAGUGCCUAAAGUCCGUGACCGAAAGGAGCGGCCGAAGGUAAGAC